rnacentral:lncRNA from 10 species
GUGUUACCGUGAGAAAAUAUCUUGAACUUCUACUCUGUUGUCCCAGAGUCGAUGUAUUCUACCUUUGUCGACCAGAACUUCUCCAUCAUACAGUCCAAACUUGUGGGUCUGGAAAGCACAAACUCUGUAAAUGAGAAACUGGUGAUGAUGUUAAGUAAGUUAUUUAUAUUUUAAGUCCCUGAUUUUAGACUCAUGUAUUUUACCUACUCGGAAAAAAUCAUAUUAUGGUUGUUGAUUUAGAAUACACAUCCUAAAAAGUGACAUCCCAUCUUUGUAUGGU